AUUGAACGCUGGCGGCAGGCCUAACACAUGCAAGUCGAGCGAGCGGCGGACGGGUGAGUAAUGUCUGGGAAACUGCCUGAUGGAGGGGGAUAACUACUGGAAACGGUAGCUAAUACCGCAUACCAUCAGAUGUGCCCAGAUGGGAUUAGCUGGUAGGUGGGGUAACGCCUCACCUCGGCGACGAGCCCGAGCUGGUCUGAGAGGAUGACCAACCACACUGGAACUGAGACACGGUCCAGACUCCUACGGAAGGCAGCAGUGGGAAAUAUUGCACAAUGGGCGCAAGCCUGAUGCAGCCAUGCCGCGUGUGUGAAGAAGGCCUUCGAGUUGUAAAGCACUUUCAGCGGGGAGGCGUUACCCUCAGAAGAAGCACCGGCUAACUCCGUGCCAGCAGCCGCGGUAAUAC
rnacentral:rRNA from 1 species